rnacentral:rRNA from 1 species
UACGUAGGGGGCAAGCGUUGUCCGGAUUUACUGGGUGUAAAGGGCGCGUAGGCUGGUUUGUUAGUCAGAGGUGAAAUCCUGCAGCUCAACUGUAGAAUUGCCUUUGAUACUGCAAGCCUUGAGUGCGGAAGAGAGAGACGGAAUUCCAGGUGUAGUAGUGAAAUACGUAGAUAUCUGGAAGAACACCAGAGGCGAAGGCGGUCUCUUGGUCCGUUACUGACGCUGAUGCGCGAAAGCGUGGGGAGCAAACAGG